UACGUAGGUGGCAAGCGUUGUCCGGAUUUACUGGGCGUAAAGGGCGUGCAGGCGGUUUGUUAAGUGCAGGGUGAAAGCUCCCGGCUCAACUGGGAGAGGUCCUUGCAUACUAGCAAACUCGAGGGAGGCAGAGGAAAGUGGAAUUCCCGGUGUAGUGGUGAUAUGCGUAGAUAUCGGGAGGAACACCUGUGGCGAAGGCGGCUUUCUGGGCCUUACCUGACGCUGAGACGCGAAAGCGUGGGGAGCGAACCGG
rnacentral:rRNA from 1 species